rnacentral:rRNA from 1 species
UACGUAGGUGGCAAGCGUUGUCCGGAUUUACUGGGCGUAAAGAGCGCGCAGGCGGUCGUUCAAGUCGCGUGUGAAAGCCCCCGGCUCAACUGGGGAGGGUCACGCGAUACUGAUCGACUUGAAGGCAGGAGAGGGAAGUGGAAUUCCCGGUGUAGUGGUGAAAUGCGUAGAGAUCCGGAGGAACACCAGUGGCGAAGGCGACACGCUGGGCCAUACCUGACGCUAAAGCGCGACAGCAUGGGGAGCAAACGGG